UGCAAGUCGAGCGGGCAUAGCAAUAUGUCUGCGUCCGACGGCUGAGUAACCCGCGGGAACGUACCUUCUGGUUCCCAACACCCGAGGGAAACUUCAGCUAAUACCCGAAAAGCCCUUACGGGGAAAGAUUUAUCUUCGAAAGAUCGGCCCGCCUCUGAUUUUCUCCUUGGUGACGUAAUGGCUCAUCCCGGCGACGAUCAUUAGCUGGUCUGAGAGGAUGAUCAGCCCCUUUGGGACUGAGACACGGCCCAAACUCCUACGGGAGGCAGCAGUGGGGAAUAUUGGACAAUGGGCGCAAGCCUGAUCCAGCCAUGCCUCGUGAGUGAUGAAGGCCCUAGGGUUGUAAAGCUCUUUUGUGCGGAAAGAUAAUGACGGUACCGGAAGAAUAAGCCCCGGCUAACUUCAUGCCAACAUCCCCGGUAAUACCAAGGGGGCUAGCGUUGCUCGGAAUUCCUGGGCGUAAAGGGUGCGUAAACAGGUCUUUUAGUCACGGGUGAAAUCCUGGAACUCAACUUCAAAAGUGCCUUUGAUACUGAAGAUCUUGACCUCCGGCGACGUGACUGGAACUGCCCCCGUACAAGUGAAAUUCGUAGAUAUUCGCCAGAACACCACCGCCGGAAGCGGGUCUCUGGCCCUAUACUGACCCUUAGGCACGAAAACCUGGGGAG
rnacentral:rRNA from 1 species